rnacentral:rRNA from 1 species
GACGAACGCUGGCGGCGUGCUUAACACAUGCAAGUCGAGCGGUAAGGCCCUUUCGGGGGUACGACGAGCGGCGAACGGGUGAGUAACACGUGGGUGACCUGCCCUCCAGCUCUGGGAUAAGCCUGGGAAACCGGGUCUAAUACCGGAUAUGACUCCAUGACGCAUGUUGUGGGGUGGAAAGCCUUGUGCGGCUGAGGAUGGGCCCGCGGCCUAUCAGCUUGUUGGUGGGGUGAUGGCCUACCAAGGCGACGACGGGUAGCCGGCCUGAGAGGGCGACCGGCCACACUGGGACUGAGACACGGCCCAGACUCCUACGGGAGGCAGCAGUGGGGAAUCUUGCGCAAUGGGCGAAAGCCUGACGCAGCGACGCCGCGUGAGGGAUGACGGCCUGU